UUUUUGGAGAGUUUGAUCCUGGCUCAGGACGAACGCUGGCGGCGUGCCGAACACAUCCAACUCGACCGGACACAACCUCAACCGUUACAUAGCGAGCGUAUUCGUGCCGGACGGGCGAGUACCGCGCGGGUAACCUACCCACCAAGCCGGGACAACCCUUGGAAACGAGGGCUAAUACCGGAUACGCUUAAGACCUGGCAUCAGGUUUUAAGGAAAGGUGAAAAGCACCUCGGAAGAGGAGUGAAAAAGACCCAGACACCGUACGCUUACAAGCAGUCCCAGCACGUUGGUGU
rnacentral:rRNA from 1 species